UUCAUUCGGUGAAAAAGGGUAGACUGAAAGAUGGCAUAGCAGACUCUUUUAGCGUUGCGACGGUGCAACCGGAGGAUUGCAAUUAUCGUGAUCUGGUUAAGUGCAAUGUUUUGUUUUGUGAUAUUGUUGAGGGUUCUUUUAGGAAAGAUGUUCUGACUCGCGGUUGUCGAAACCGGUCAAAAAUAACAUUUUCGGUUAUCAACAAUAUUACUACUGUAGAUAGUGGUAAAUGAUCGAAUUUACAGAGAAUUGAAAACUUAUCUCUUUUUCUCAAUAAGACCAAGAGAAUUAACUGAAUGAGAAACUGAAAGCAAGUAACUGAAAGCAAAAUAAAAUAAAUUGCAGUAAAAUUAAAAUGGGGG
rnacentral:lncRNA from 1 species